AUUGAACGCUGGCGGCAGGCCUAACACAUGCAAGUCGAGCGGAUGAAGGGAGCUUGCUCCUGGAUUCAGCGGCGGACGGGUGAGUAAUGCCUAGGAAUCUGCCUGGUAGUGGGGGAUAACGUCCGGAAACGGGCGCUAAUACCGCAUACGUCCUGAGGGAGAAAGUGGGGGAUCUUCGGACCUCACGCUAUCAGAUGAGCCUAGGUCGGAUUAGCUAGUUGGUGGGGUAAAGGCCUACCAAGGCGACGAUCCGUAACUGGUCUGAGAGGAUGAUCAGUCACCGUGGAACUGAGACAAGGCCCAGACUCCGACGGGAGGGGGAAGGGGGGAUUAUGGGAAAAGGGGGAAAAGCCUGAACCAGCAAUGCCGGGUGUGGGAAGAAGGUUUGCGGAUAGUAAAGCUCUUUAAUUGGGGAGGAAGGGAAGUAAGUAAAUCCUUGCGUUUUUUGACGUAACAAAAAAAAAAAGCCCCGGCUAACUUCGUG
rnacentral:rRNA from 1 species